GGGAGUGUGCCGGAGUGGUCAAUCGGGGCAGACUGUAAAUCUGCUGGCUUAUGCCUUCAUAGGUUCGAAUCCUAUUACUCCCA
rnacentral:tRNA from 1 species